AAACAAACGCACCUCGGCGUCGCCUUCAGGCGGCUCUUCCAAGUCAUCCGUGAGUGCGGCCAGCUGUUUCUCCCUUUUCUCGAUGGCGCUUUGAUAUUUAAUGGGAUUUGCGAGAGCCUCAGCAAAAUCGCUCAACCCGUCUGGUACGUAGUCCUUGACGAUAACAUGUAAAAAGAGGCUGGCCAAUGGAAGUGGCUGUCCACACUCAGUACGCAAGGCAACAUGACGAUAACCCGGACACAGACCUACAACUGGUAAAACUCGGUGGCCGAUCAUUUUUCCUGAUUCCUCGUAAGCUGCUAUCCGAAUGGAGGCUAACUCUGGUAGAACUACCUAUAUUGGGACAAAAAAAACAAGUUUUUUGUUAGCAAAUUUUUCAAAAUGAAAUGCAGGUGAAGAGACUAAGAAUUAACCUACCUUUUUGAAAACAAAAGGUUCCUCGUCAUAUACUGGAUUAAUACCGUUAUUUGGAACUAUUUUCGUUCUGAACUUCUUUCUGACAGUAUCAGCUGGAAGACCAUACAUAUCAACUUCCACAUAUGUUCCUACUCUUUUAUCUGUUAAAAAUUGAGCUGAUAUCACAUGAAUAUGAACCAUCCCAGCAAUAAUGCCAUCCACUGUUGAUUCUGCAAAAGGAUCUAAUCGCCGAUCCUUUCGGCGCAUAAAUUCAGGUUUUAAAACAUAAUUGUGCUAGUAUUAAGCUGAGUGAGAUUAUAAGCCAAGUGAAGAAUCUGAUCGGUCCAAUGUCGCGCAAUCUCCGCGCGUGUUGUGCAGAAGUUAAUGAAAGUCAUGUUCACAAAGUCUGAACCAUGGCAGAUCGUAACAGUCUUGUCUUCUAAAGAAUCUUGAGAGCCCAUUGUGACAAAAGAUUUUAAUUUUGGAUCCUGUAAAUUUACUUUUGUUAUUUUUCCUUUGACGCAUUAGCUGAUUAUUACAAAUAGCCAAAAAUAAGCAAAGCCAGUUAUUUGUUAAUAAAGAAAAAUUAAAAAAAAAAUUAUGUUUUUCUAUACUAUGAUAAAUUACACAAAAUAAUCCUGA